rnacentral:rRNA from 1 species
GACGAACGCUGGCGGCGUGCUUAACACAUGCAAGUCGAACGCUGAAGCUCAGCUUGCUGGGUGGAUGAGUGGCGAACGGGUGAGUAACACGUGAGUAACCUGCCCUCUUCUUUGGGAUAACGCCCGGAAACGGGUGCUAAUACUGGAUAUUCACUGAUUCUCGCAUGGGGGUUGGUGGAAAGGUUUUUUCUGGUGGGGGAUGGGCUCGCGGCCUAUCAGCUUGUUGGUGGGGUGAUGGCCUACCAAGGCUUUGACGGGUAGCCGGCCUGAGAGGGUGGCCGGUCACAUUGGGACUGAGAUACGGCCCAGACUCCUACGGGAGGCAGCAGUGGGGAAUAUUGCACAAUGGGCGAAAGCCUGAUGCAGCGACGCCGCGUGAGGGAUGGAGGCCUUCGGGUUGUAAACCUCUUUCGCUCAUGGUCAAGCCGCAGCUUGGGGUUGUGGUGAGGGUAGUGGGUAAAGAAGCGCCGGCUAACUACGUG